AUGCAUGUGUAAGUAAAUCUUGAAAAAGUGGAACCGCGAAUGGCUCAUUAAAUCAGUUAUUAUCUGCAAGAAAAUGCUCAGUCUAUAAGAAUACCUGCGCUAACCGCGCUGUUAAUGCUUGCAGAUCGGUGCCGAGAGGUACAACUUUUGGGAGAUGUCUACCAGGUACACUUGAAACAAGAGUGGCCAUGGGAAGAUGAAUCCGCUAUGACAGUUUGAUAACUGAAGUACCGCAAAUUCCGUGUAGGAGGGCGGAGUUUCUUUCGAGUUUCUGAGCUAUCAACCUAUGACGGUAGGGUAACGGCCUACCGUGGUUGUGACGGCUAACGGGGAAUCAGGGUUCGAUUCCGGAGAAGGAGCCUGAGAAACGGCUACUACAUCCAAGGAAGGCAGCAGGCACGCAAAUUACCCACUCCUGGCACGGGGAGGUAGUGACGAGAAAUAACCAUAUGAACCUUAAUGGUUUAUAAUGGGAAUGGAAUGGAUUUAAAAUAUCCAUUGAUGACCGAGUAGAGGGCAAGUCUGGUGCCAGCAGCCGCGGUAAUACCAGCCUCUACAAGCGUAUGCAUGAGUUGCUGCGUUUAAAAAGCUCAUAGUUGGAUCUUUUCGAGUAUUUGGAUACAUCGGCUUAGUGCAUUGCGCAUUAAGACGCCUUACGCUCGUAACCCCCGCAUCGAUGAAGCUGGUUGCACUUAAUUGUGACGACCAGUGGAAUUGGUGUUACCACUCUGAGUAAAUUAGAGUGUUCAAAGCAUCCUUUGGGAUUGAAUAAUAAAGCAUGGAAUAAAGGAGAAUGACCCGUGACACUGCUUAUGCCUGGUGGCUUGUGCAUGGUAAUGAUUGAAAGGAACAGGCGGGGGCAUUUGUAUUGCUACGUUAGAGGUGAAAUUCUUGGAUCGUGGCAAGACAAACUACUGCGAAAGCAUUUGCCAAGAAUGUUUUCAUUAAUCAAGAACGAAAGUUAGAGUAUUAAAGAGGAUUAGAUACCCUCGUAAUUCUAACCAUAAACUAUACCAACUUACGAUUUGUCCUCGUCCCUCUUGACUGGGCAAGAAAUUAACCGGGAAACCAAAGUUUAUUGGUUCCGGGGGAAGUAUGGUUGCAAAAUCGAAACUUAAAGGAAUUGACGGAAGGGCACCACCAGGAGUGGAGCCUGCGGCUUAAUUUGACUCAACACGGGAAAACUCACCAGGUCCAGACAUAAUGAGGAUUGACAGAUAGUAUACCUCUCAUAAUCUUAUGGGCGGUGGUGCAUGGCCGUUCUUAGUUAGUGGAGUGAUCUGUCUGGUUAAUUCCGAUAACGAACGAGAUCUUAGCCAAUUAAGUAGAAAUUGGUACUACGGUAUCAAAGUGCUUCUUAGAGGUACAGCUCCGAAUUUAAAUACGGAGAGCGAAGAGAGGCUAUAACAGGUCUGUGAUGCCCUUAGAUGUUCUGGACUGCACGCGCGCUACACUGUGGAUUACAAUGUGUGUUAAACCUAGUCCCGAGAGGAUUGGGAAAUCAUAUCAACGGUGAAGCUUUGAGGGGAUCGUGCUUUGUAACUUUAGCACGUGAACUAGGAAUUCCUAGUACGCGGAAGUCAACAACUUCUGCGGAUUACGUCCCUGCCCUUUGUACACACCGCCCGUCGCUACUACUGAUUGGACGAUGAAGUGAGAACUUUUGAAAGUCCGUUUGCUCUGUCUUCGGAUAGAGCAGACAAGAUCCCAUGAGGAUCAAGCUUCCUUGUCU
rnacentral:rRNA from 1 species